ACGGGAGGCAGCAGUAGGGAAUAUUGGGCAAUGGACGCAAGUCUGACCCAGCCAUGCCGCGUGCAGGAAGACGGCCCUCUGGGUUGUAAACUGCUUUUAUCAGGGAAGAAACCCUUCUACGUGUAGGAGGCUGACGGUACCUGAGGAAUAAGGAUCGGCUAACUCCGUGCCAGCAGCCGCGGUAAUACGGAGGAUCCAAGCGUUGUCCGGAUUUAUUGGGUUUAAAGGGUGCGUAGGCGGACUUAUAAGUCAGAGGUGAAAGCCGGUAGCUUAACUAUCGAAUUGCCUUUGAAACUGCAAGUCUUGAAUUUUGUUGAGGUAGGCGGAAUGUAUCAUGUAGCGGUGAAAUGCAUAGAUAUGAUACAGAACACCGAUUGCGAAGGCAGCUUACUAAGCAAAUAUUGACGCUGAGGCACGAAAGCGUGGGGAUCAAACAGGAUUAGAUACCCUGGUA
rnacentral:rRNA from 1 species